rnacentral:ncRNA from 1 species
ACGGGAAUGAGGUUCUCCCAUGGUGAAUGCCAAAACCGCUGAAUUCAGCUGAUGACUUCUGCUC